rnacentral:rRNA from 1 species
UACGUAGGGCGCAAGCGUUGUCCGGAAUCAUUGGGCGUAAAGCGCGCGUAGGCGGCUCUGUAAGUCCGUUGUGAAAGUCAAAGGCUCAACCUUUGAAAGCCGAUGGAUACUGCAGAGCUAGAGUACGGAAGAGGCGAGUGGAAUUCCUGGUGUAGCGGUGGAAUGCGCAGAUAUCUGGAAGAACACCAGUGGCGAAGGCGGUCAACUGGCCCAUAACUGACGCUCAGGCACGAAAGCGUGGGGAGCAAACAGG